rnacentral:rRNA from 1 species
GUAUCCUACGGGAGGCAGCAGUGGGGAAUAUUGCACAAUGGGGGAAACCCUGAUGCAGCGACGCCGCGUGAGUGAAGAAGUAUUUCGGUAUGUAAAGCUCUAUCAGCAGGGAAGAAAAAAGACGGUACCUGACUAAGAAGCCCCGGCUAACUACGUGCCAGCAGCCGCGGUAAUACGUAGGGGGCAAGCGUUAUCCGGAUUUACUGGGUGUAAAGGGUGCGUAGGCGGGUAAGCAA